rnacentral:rRNA from 1 species
UACGUAGGUGGCAAGCGUUAUCCGGAUUUAUUGGGCGUAAAGGGAACGCAGGCGGUCUUUUAAGUCUGAUGUGAAAGCCUUCGGCUUAACCGGAGUAGUGCAUUGGAAACUGGGAGACUUGAGUGCAGAAGAGGAGAGUGGAACUCCCUGUGUAGCGGUGAAAUGCGUAGAUAUAUGGAAGAACACCAGUGGCGAAAGCGGCUCUCUGGUCUGUAACUGACGCUGAGGUUCGAAAGCGUGGGUAGCGAACAGG